CCUGUGGAAGGAUCAUUGUCGAAACCCACAAACCAGACCGCGAACCCAUUCCGAACAACCCCGGGGCAGCGGGGGGUGGGCAACCUCCCGUCGUGGCCCCAAUCCUGUCACUGCGCGCGCCCGCAUCGCGUCGACAAGGCUAACAAACUCGGGCGCAAAAUACGUCAAAGAAUACACAAUAUAGCGCUUCCCUCCCUCUCCACGCCCCGUCUGCAAGGCGGUGGGGGAGCCGUGGACAUCUAACGAAUUUGCAAAUGACACUCGGCAACUGAUAUCUCAACUCUCGCAUCGAUAAAGAACGUAGAGAAAUGCAAUACUUGGUGUGAAUUGCAGAAUCCUGUGAAUCAUCGAGUUAUUGAUCACAAGUUGCGCCCAAAGCCAUUAGGCCAAGGGCACGUCUGCCUGGGCCUUACGCAUCGUGUCGCCCCCUCCCCGUGGGGUGUGGUGGAGAUUGGCCUCUCCUGCAUGCUCGUGCACACAGCCGGCCCAAAUGUGAAUCCUCCGUCAGUGCGCGUCGCGACCAGUGGUGGUUGAUAAUUCAACUUGCGUGCUGUCACAUCCCGCGUUGUUGUCGUUCAGAAAUGACUACGAAACCCAAUGGCGUGAGCACACAUCGUGCCCACAACCGAGACCCUAGGUUAGGCGGGAUCACCCACUGAGUUUAAGCAUAUCAAUAAGC
rnacentral:rRNA from 1 species